CCUAGCUACUUAAUCAUCAAUAGCUAACUGUUUGCCACCGGACGUCAGCACUGGCAGAGCAGGAAGCGCUCAUUCCAUCCUGCUCCCCUUUCUAGAGACGUAAGACUCAGAAAGUGAAGUGGUUGAGCUGGGCUCCAUCUCCUACCCUCCUCGCUGCCGCUCCUUGCGCUACACCACACUUCUCUCUGCUUCUUGCAAACUCGCUGAGUCUACUGGCAGCCACUCUAACAGGUUUACAAUUGGCAAAGCUAUUGGGAGGGGAGCUUCACUGUUUAGUUGCAAACUAAGGGCUUCCUCAGUUCCAGUCUCCCUAGUCAAGCAGUCACUGUCACAGGCAGGUCAUCAUACCACCACGGAGUAGCUGACAGACCUUCUGUUUUGGAGAAGGAGAUUGCAUCACCAACCAGCUUCUGUGUCUUCGGUAUUCUUGACUACAGGAUGAGCCAAACAGUUAAGUUCAGAUUGGCUGUACCACAAUGUGGUCAUUUUGCUCAUCUGAACAUGGCUUACACCAAAAGAAACUAUCCUGCGCACAUAGCUGUUUCUCUCCUCCUUCUUUAUGACACAGAAGGUUUCUGGAGAGUGGAGCUAAGCCACACCCACCCUCCAGUCCUGCAUCCAGUCAACAAAUGCCAAGGACGUCUCUGUGGAACAUCAGGAAAACCUCUAACCAUGAAGCAUGAGAAUUAUGGGGACACAGAAUAUGGUGUGUAUCCGCCUAGGCAUGUGCUUGGAGAGAACCGUGGUGAAACUCCCCGGGACAUCAAUGUUUCUACAGAUGUUUUGCACAAAACUAAACAUUUGAACUGACCCACGCUACUGGAGAGAGGUUCGAGAGUGGCCAAAGACCCCUCCACCAGAUAGCUUAUAAGAAGGAAUUAGAACUUUCUUCUAUUC
rnacentral:lncRNA from 1 species